GAGGGAGAGACAGACAGAAGUAGAUAAGGGAGAAAAAGCAGGGAGCACAGAGCUGCAGAGGAAGGAGGAAAAACUGACUGCAGGCACCAGCUUUUCACCUGGAAAGAUUUUUAGGCUGCAGUUUCUCCAUUUGUCUGAUUCUGGGGGUUUGUGAGAAGAGGAGGGAAAAAAGAGAGAUACUCUAUCAUCUUCUCUGACCGUGAAAGGACAGCAGGAGGGCGUGUACCCAAAGGGAAGGAGAGAGGGGAG